rnacentral:rRNA from 1 species
UACGAAGGGGGCUAGCGUUGCUCGGAAUCACUGGGCGUAAAGCGCACGUAGGCGGAUCUUUAAGUCAGGGGUGAAAUCCUGGAGCUCAACUCCAGAACUGCCUUCGAUACUGGAAAGCUCGAGUCCGGGAGAGGUGAGUGGAACUGCGAGUGUAGAGGUGAAAUUCGUAGAUAUUGGGAGGAACACCAGUGGCGAAGGCGGCUCACUGGACCGGAACUGACGCUGAGGCGCGAAAGCGUGGGGAGCAAACGGG